AUUAUUUUAAGGUACAAAAGAAUCUUUGGUGUUGGAUCGAUCGAUAUUGAAAUCAAUCAAUAGCAAUAAAUAAGGUCUCUGUUGUAUUACUGUGUUGCAAAGCGGCAUGUAAUCAAUAACAAAACGAUGCCAUGUGGCAGAAAAAAGUUGUAUUACGUUUACUGAGUAUAACUCUGGAUCGUGCAACAAGGCAGGCCUACUUGGUUCUUUUGGGAAAUGAUUGUAAAGAUUUCCAAAGAAUAUGUUUACGGCAUUUACUCUCUAACUGGGACGUUUUGGGGCCAAUUGGCGGGAAUUUGCUAUGGACAAAAUACACACGGCGAUACGCUGAUAAGAGCAAAUUACGUUUAACCAUGUAAUUGUAUACCACUGUAUUGUGUGACCAGUUAACUUCAUUUAAUAUUGUAUGUGGCGUUUUCUUUAGCAGAAUCAAAUGUUCCACCAAAACAAGUUCCUUCCAGAGACCAUUUUACAGAUCCCCCCCCCCCCCCUUUUUGUGCAACCAAAGAUUUGCGCCGCCCAAGACUAUUGGGAUUGGUUUGAAGAAAUGAAAACCAGGAGUGUGUAUGUGUGGAGGGGCCAGACCUUCCUCCGCAGCGCUGUGGAGAUAGGUCUGGCAAUGCAAGAUUAUAUUUACUAUAUAAACAUGAGAAUCGCAUUGAUCUUCUCAUCUAACUUGGCCAGAAAGUGAAUAAGCGUAUUUCUCAACUAUUCUUUUAAUCCUGUUCUGCUUGUUUCACACUUCAGUGCAUUUGUGUAGUUAGUGAUGAAUUUGAGCACCACUACACAGACGAUAGUUAUUCGCUCAAACUUGCCAUAGCAGCAUUCUGUUUUCUACAUUUUCCCUUCAUUUGUCCAAACUGGUAUGUGAUUGGUGUUAAUGUCUUCACUCAGGAAAGUAAAGACAUAGGUGUCCUGACUAAUAUUUAAUUCUAAAAUGUUGAUGAUGGGGGGGGGGGGGUUUAUAGGAGUUUACAACACCAAACAUUUACGUCUCCAAAACUUGACUGAACAAUAUUCUCUGGCAGAGUUUUUUCUAGUUAAACGUUUGUGUCUACCAUUUUUCUUAUUGGACAUGAAUGCAGCAUUAUUCCAGGGUAACCCAAGCAGCGAGAUCAGCAAGGCUCAAAUCCAGCAGCAGCAGCAUUUUAGCACUGGGAAGAUUUAACAGGAAUAUUGUGUCUCAGAAAGAAAUGAAAGAGACAAAUCAACUGGAGGUGUACAGUUCUCCUCAAGGAGAGGACCAAGGACCAGUCCAGCACCCACCCCCACACCAAAUAUCAAAUGGAGAAAACAAAACCGAGUCGAGACCAUCAGCAACUUUAUGUAGUUAGAGCCGUAGAGCAGGCCCCAGCAGAGAACCUGAGAAACUUCAAGACAAUUGUUGAGGUGGAGAAAAAGGCAACACUACAUUCAUCCUCCCCACACCUUCCACCUUGGCUCACCUCAGCCACCCAUGACCAAGUACCACCAAGUAGUCUUUUUUUUCUUCAUAGCUGAUUUUGUCUGGGAGGAGUGUUUCCAUGUACACGUUUUACUGCUGCAUGUUGGGAGGGAACAUUGGGUAGCUGGUGCAAAAUGGAGAAACUGACAUCUGUUGGCCCCCAGCCCUCACAAGGCCACCUGUGUUCCCAUACAUCAGACAUGUACGUGAAUGAAGUUGUACAGAGUGAAUGUAGACUGUCCACUAUGUUAGUUAGUACUGUCUUCUCUGCAUUCAGCUCACUAAAUAUACCUUAGAAAACCGACUGCUCUGUGUUCAAAUCUCUUCAAAUGUGUCCAAGAAAAGAGAAAGUUGUAUGAUUUGGGACCUGCCCUUUUUGUUUUUAACCUUUUCAAUAAUCUUACUGCUACCUUGCACCGUUUUGUUCUUUUAAUCUUCUGGCUCAUCAGCCUGCAUUUCCUUUGUGCUUCCUCACUUAAUCCUCUGCCACUCUUUUAUUUAAAUACUUUUUAUGUCACGGUUUUCACCCCCUGAAGAGGUGGUUUUCUGUUGAGAUUGAAUCAAACUAUUUGUUGACACCUGACAAUCACCCUCAUAUAUCAUAAUGCAGACUGGUUUAGACGGAAGGAGGCUGGCUAGAUUAGACCUUUUGCCAGAGUUGAGCCACUUGGAAUUUGAGCUGUGAGAACUCGCUGUCUCUUCCAAGCGAGGGGUUCCUCUCAGAAGUCAUAAUCCAAUAUUUCUGUCCAGCACACCAUGUCACCUGUAGGUGGCACUAUAACAGCAUUCAGAGAGAUGGUGUCCUUCUGGAAGGAUAUUCUGCCAGUGUUUAUGAGAUUAAAGGAGAUGACAUUUGAUUUUUAACAGAAUGCACUUACUGCUUUUACACUAAGUUCUCAUUAUAUGCCCUCCUUUUUUAAGGUUUUUAAUUAUCCUGGAUUGCCCCCACUCAUUAGUUUUCAUGAUCGUAUAGCUUUGCCUGACAAGCUCUCUCCUGCUUUCACGUUUUAUUUUCAAGUUGGCAAUCUUCCUAACCAAUUUUAAUAUUUACUAUUUAAAAUAUUUGGUUGACUUCUCUGAGAAAUCUGGCCAUGGAAAGAAACGUUUGUGUACUGCCAGCUUUUGACACAGUCCAUUUGUAUCUGUAGUUAUGAUCAAAUCAAGCGUCUUUGUCACUCGCACUACACAUGGCAGGUGCUUAGCUAAGAGAAUCAUUAUCUGAUAAAUUGCGUUGCCAAUGAAACCACCAAGAAGUAUUUUUAUUUUAUUUGUGCCCUGCAUGAAGUCAUUCAUUUCCUUUCAUCCAAAAGUAAGGGAUGGCAAAAUGCCAGUGGAAAUUGUGUUAAUAUCAAAAUGUGCCAUUUUAUUAUAACACUAUAUUCUUUCAAGACAAUUGAAAUUACCUUUUUAUUUUCUGUAGCAUGUAAUGUGUUAAUAUACUAGUAAAUAAAGUCAAACCCAUGACAAGUGA